GACGAACGCUGGCGGCGUGCUUAACACAUGCAAGUCGAACGGAAAGGCCCUGCUUUUGUGGGGUGCUCGAGUGGCGAACGGGUGAGUAACACGUGAGUAACCUGCCCUUGACUUUGGGAUAACUUCAGGAAACUGGGGCUAAUACCGGAUAGGAGCUCCUGCUGCAUGGUGGGGGUUGGAAAGUUUCGGCGGUUGGGGAUGGACUCGCGGCUUAUCAGCUUGUUGGUGGGGUAGUGGCUUACCAAGGCUUUGACGGGUAGCCGGCCUGAGGGGGUGACCGGCCACAUUGGGACUGAGAUACCGCCCAGACUACUACGGGGGGCAGCAGUGGGGAAUAUUGCACCAUGGGCGGAAGACUGAUGCAGCAACGCCGCGUGGGGGAUGAAGGCCUUCGGGUUGUAAAACGGUUUCGCCUGAGACGAAGCGUGAGUGACGGUAAUGGGUAAAAAAGCACCGGAUAAAUACG
rnacentral:rRNA from 1 species